GUUGUGUCGAGGUGGUGUUUAUGAUGUUUUGUAAUGAAAUGAGGGGUUUCAAAAGAUGAAGACCAGGGCUUACAAACGCACCUGAAACGGGUCAAGGAUUUAACAGGAAGCUUUGAGAGAAUCUCCAACACCAACAUCUCU